GUCUUCGAGCAAAUGGUGCUCUCAGUAUGCUCUGGGCCUCCUAAUGUUUCCAUUUUAAUUACUAUUGUUCUGUUUUCCUGGGGGAAGAAGAAAGAACAAGGAAAAUUAUGACUGGGGUCUUUCAGGUGCUGAGACAUGUUUGUUUUUCUGACUUUAUUCAACACACUUCUUUUUCUUCCUGGGGACACUGAAAUUCGGAGCAGGUGAAGGAGCAGGGAAAUGGAAGAGGUAAGAAGGGGAGAAGAGAGAGGAUAAGGUAGGUUCUUGAUUCACUUCCUGCUUACAUGCCUGGAAAAUUUCCUAAGAUGGAGCUUCCCAAAUGGGGGAUUGCAGGCGUGCCAAGAUAUUGAUCCUUUCAGCUCACAGGUGGCAGGACAGGGUCAAAGGGGGGCUUCAGCUGCUUUUUCCAUGUAGCCCAAGUCACUUCCAAAUAUAAUCCUUUUCUAUAUAGACCCAGAUGUGAAAUUUUUUUAAAAGAUUUUAUUUAUUUGUCAGAGAGAGAGAAAGAGCAACAAGCAGGGGUAGCGGCAGGCUCCCCGCUGAGCAAGGAGCCCAAUGCAAUGCGGGACUCAAUUCCAGGACCCUGGGAUCAUGACCUGAGCCAAAGGCAGCCGCCUGACCAACCCAGUCACCCGGUGUCCCUCAAAUGUGAAAUUUUUGAAGGCAGUAAGAAAUACUGUCAUGUACCGUCUUCCGCCCAGAUUCUUGGAUAGAAACACAAUUGUAUGUUUGGCUUCAUCAAACCUCUAGUUCAGUAGUUUGCGUGGCUACGGUUCUGUGUGUGUGUACACACACACAUAUGUGUAUAUGCGUUCACGCGUGUAUAUAUGUAUAUAUCUAUAUCUUUAUAUUUAUAGAGAGAAUUAGAGUGAAACAAGCAUAGCAGCUAAUAAUAGUAUAUGCUUUGGAGUCUAGCAGAUUUGGUUUGAAACUCAGCUUCACAACUUUCUCACUGUGUGACCUUGAACAGGUUACUAAACCACUCUGAACCUUAGUUUCUUGGGGGAUAACUAUCUACCUUUCACAGUCAUGACCUUGAGCAAGUCACUUAAACUCUUUGCUCUUCAUUGUAUCCGUUUGUAAAAUGAGAUAAUAAUAGUUUCUACUUCAUAAUUUUGCUGUAAGGAUUUAUAUGUUAACUGACAUAUUUGUAUAGCAGUUAAUAUAUAUAAAUCACUUAGAACAUUGCCUAGUACCUAGUAAACUACGAAACUGUGAGUUCUCAUUAUCGUUCAUCACCAUCAUCGUGUAAAGUGUUUAGCACCGGGGCUUGUGACUAUCAUCAUCACCCUCAUGAUGAUUAUAGGUAGCUUUGGGGAGAGAAAUCAUUUCUGUUCUCACUACAGAAAACCAAAAUGUGUGCAGCUCUGACCACGUGAGAGCAGCUGCUGAGAAUGUAGGAGGUAAGAGCCUUGCUUGGGCAAGUCUAAAGAGCCAAGUACAAGUCAGCCGUCCUCACAGUCUAGAGAAUGAGCUCCAGCGUGGGAUUCUUACCUACUCAGAAGUUUCUCCUCUUUACUCCUUUCUUCUGGUCUCCAUUCUAUCCCUGUCUUUGUUAAGCACUUAUCCAUUAACGCUGCCAAAAAAAGGGGGGGGUGGGGAAUAUUUGUGUACUUUGGAGCCCUCGCAUGCCUGCUGCCAAAUCAGAGUCCGCUGCCAAGGAAGCCUUGCCUGGGGUCCCGCUGGCUUCGCCUUAGCCUUCCCACUCAGCUGUUCUCCACAUUGGGGCUGAAGGGAGCAGUGCUCAUGGGAUGGCGUGGGAGCAGUCAGCAAAAGCUGAGGGGGGCGAAAGGGUUAUUGGAAACAGAAGAAUUACUGACAAAUUGAGCUUUCCGAUGGGAAAUUAAAGAAGCAAUCAAGGCUGAGUAUAGGUGGGCACCCAUGGGCCCAGGAGUCGUGAGGCAGAAAUAUCGUGCAGGAGUGUGACACAGGCACCUGGACCCUCUGUGGACUUCAUGUUGCUACCUGUCACCCCUCACAGGGCUCGGUCUACACCAUCUCUAGGAAUCACAGCAGAGAGCCAGCCUGAGGUGAGAAAUCAGCAGGAAUGGCCUCCUUGGUUUACGCUCCUUCGCCCCGUGCAUGCUCACUAGGCAGGUAGCUGGAAGAAGGAGGGCCCAAGGCAGAACUUGAAUACUCCAUCUGGAGGUCAUUCCAAAGGUCCCCAGGACAGCAGCCCUACCCAGGGGCCGGGAUAGCUACGUGGGCUUUAGAGAGCCCUGAGCUGAAGUCCUAGCUCUUCUCUGCAACUGAAUGAUGGUGCUCAAGUUAUUAACAUCUCUAACCCUGAGAAAUGCAGUUCAACGCAGUUGCACACCUUACCUUGUGCCUGAAUGGGUUCAUGUACAGAAAGAACUCGCCUCGGUGCUACAGCAUGGGUGCUUAGUGAAUGGUAGCUGUUAUUAUCCUAUCACUGUCAUCAUUAGCGCUCGUGUCACAUAUACUCCAUUCUUCCACGGGUCUCCCCACUGCCACCUCUGAGACACAAUCUUUUUCCUUUCUUCCCUCACAUCCGCUGGCGGCUUCGGGCUAACCAUUCUUGCUUCCGUACCUGAACACUGCAACAGAUUCUGUGUUUGAUCCAGGUUUUACUCGUAUAUACAUGUUUCCUGUUAGUGAUAGUUCCUGGACCCUGAGCUCUCCUUGAGCCACCCUGAGCAGGAGUGAAGUCAGGAGAGAACUCACAGUCUCAGAUCUCGUCUCCAGCUCUCAUUCUUCCACAGGUUUUUCCUGCCACAUCCAAUAUGACUGAGGAGUCUUACACACUACAGAUGCACUCGUGGGGCACUUGCUUGGGGCUGGACAAGGGAAACCAUCCCUUGCCACGGAGUGAUCGCUGGGAGGGAAGGUGGAAGGGAGGCUGGGUUACACAACAGGGAAAAACGCCAUGAAAUCUUGCUAUCAGUGGGUUCUCAUUGGCAGUUAUUUUGGUUUCUGGAUUUGAAACUGCUGUGCAAAGUCAGCUACUGACAGUUUAGGCUGCUGUUUGUUGAUGCGGGAGGAGCCUAAGCCCAACUGAGGUUCCCCCAAACCUUCUCCCUGGGACUGUUCCAAAGAAAAAUAAAGAGAACAUAUGCCACUGGUAUCUUCUUCCUCAGAAUCUUUGGUAGCUUUUUCAAUUAUUAUUCUGGAAAGGGCUCUGGCCCAGAAUUUCAUAAGAAAACCCAAAUGAAGCACGCAGAAAUAAUCGUCAGUGGGCCAGCAGGAGGGAUGACAUUAGAUGCCACAGAUGGAAAUGCAGGCUCAGAGGGACUGAGCUUUAAUAUGGACAGUGCCCUCUGGAUGGCUGGCCACACAGGGUCUCCAUGGGUCAGAAUGGGGAAGAUGUGGUCCAUUCUCUUAAUUAGCGUGUGAAGCAGGCAUCGGGAUAAAGAGUCUCUCUGCAACCUCAGGAUUCUAAGUCUCCCAAACCUAGCAGAUGUCUGUGGUAGAAAGUUCGGUUAACUCUGAAAAGAAAGAAAGAGAAAGAGUUUUAACUCAGGGUGAGGACUCAGUUUUUGAAGGCUGACUGGAUGAACACCUGGAUAAUACUCUAAGUCCAUGUGUUUUAGACACCUCUCUUUCUUUGCUCCUGAACCCAGUUUCAAGUGAUGCUAUCUGUUUGUUGAAAUGGUGACAAUGUAAUUAUGCUCAUCUUCUUGGCCCUCCCUGAGUGGUUCUCCUUCUCCCAUCCCCUAUUUCUAACGAGUUCUUGUCACUCGGUUCAAUUUUUGUAAUUACAGAGCUCAUAAAAGUCCAUAAAGUUCAGCGUGUCCUGGACAUAUCUAGUUAAAAAAUCAUAACUAAAUUCAUAUUUACUGUGUUGCAGAGUGGCACUGAGGUCUGUAUCCUCAGACAACAGGGGCAAAAUGAUGCAAUGCGAAGAGAUAAAGGGAUUCUAUCCUUCCAAAGACAACUUCCUAUUUAAUAUAAGCACCUUAACCUUGAUGGCUAAGCUAAGGACAAUCUAUUUUUUCCCUGUUUCUUCCCUAACAAGGGACUCAUUCAUUCAUUCAUACACUUAUUUGUUUGUUCAUUCAUUUAACAAAUGUUUAUUGAGCAUCACUAUACGCUGGGGACGUAGUGAACAAAACCAACUCUGCUGUCAUGGAGUUACAUCCUACUAGCAGGCAAUAGACCAAUAACCAAUGAAUGUAUUAUAUAACGCCAGUGGAGAUAAGUGCUAUGAGGGGGAAAAGCAGGCUCUUUAGCAGAGGACUAGUUUGGAAAGCAAAUUACCUGAGUAGACAGAAAGUAGAAAUUAUCUUAUUCCAGGCAUCCCUUAUUCUGUGCAGUUUUCCUCCUCGAAAUCCUUAGGCAUUCUUAAUGAUGUUAGUGGGUAUUCAGCAGAAACACAAAGGUGUUUACUUUGUGUGGACGUGGAGACAUCGGUGCACGUCAUAAAGAAGGAGCCGUGACUAUGUCAAGUUUGACUGCCCAUGUAGACCAGCCCUACCUCAGAGCGGGGCUGUGCACAGAAAGGCUUGUGGUGCCGAGCUUGAUAUAUCCAGUUUAGUUCUUCUUUCUUUGGCUUUCAAUCUCUAUUUUUUUAGUGUGGUAAAGAAGACAUGACUUAUAUUUGCUUUGUUACCCUUUUGACAAUUAAGUGUACAGAACAGUAUUAUUAACUCAAUGCCCACUGUUGUGCAGCAAAGCUCUAGAACUUUUUCAAAGUCUUGCAUGACUGAAACUCUAUACUCAUUGAAGAGCAACUCCCCAUUUCCUCCUCCCCAAACCCCUCAACUUUCUGUUUCUAUGAGUUCGAUUAUGUUUGAUACUUCAUAUAAGUGGAAUCAUACAGUAUCUGUCCUUUUGUGACUGGCUCAUUUCACUUAGUAUAAUGUCCUCAAGGUUCCUCCAUAUUGUAGCAAAUGACAGACUUUCCUUCUUUUUUAAGGCCGAGUAGUAUUCCAUUGUAUGUAUACACAUUUUCUUUAUCCAUUCAUCCAUGACUAGACCUCCAGUUUGCUUCUAUGUUUGGCUAUUAUAGAGAGUGCUGCAAUGAACACGUGUGAGCAAAUAUCUGUUCAAGAUCCUGUUUUCAAAUUUUCUGGAUACCAAUUGAGCUGCUCUUGAAUCACUGUGUGAUGUGUUGCCCAGAAGGAAAGGUAUGGAUCACUCCCCCUAUAAUUUGCAAUAGUCCUCUGGUUCCUCCAAACCCAGGCCUCAAUCACCUGCUAUCUCCCAGGCUCUGGGGGACGCAGAGGAGAGUAAGAGUCGAAGGUAACACUUCUGUGGCGCUGAGCACGUACUGUUACUAUCACACCCCGUUUCGGGGAGAACACUGAGGCAGACAGCUAGCUGGCAAAAUGAGCAUGGGAUUUGGUCUCGAGCAGUCUGACCACAGAGGUGCUUGUAACCCUCUUGUCACUGAACAAUUCCUCCUUUGCCUUUCAAGUGUUCAAGAUAGGAUGACAGACAAGGCGAGAGGACACUCAACAGUGCGGGAAUUGCAGCAUUGUAGACAGAUGCUCAAACAAUUUGCCCCGGGAACAGAGCAAGAAGCACUGAACUCCAUGAAGUUGGGCACGAUUUUUUUAGAGGCCGAGAGGUUGACCCCUGAUGGAUCGGUGGAAGGACCAAAUGAACAAGAAGAAUGUAAAGUAUGCGGAAGCAGGCAGAGAAGAGCAACGCAAGGAAGCAAUCACAUGAAGGGCCGCCGCGAACCGCGAACGUGACUGUCAGCACGGGUGCCCGGGAGACAUAUGGCCCCAUGGCGGGAAGAACUGGCUUUUGUUACACGCUUCGAGCUGUUGCCAUUUCCGCGUGUUCCUGUUCUUUUUGUCUCUUUCACCCGCUGAGGUCCUGCUCUCCCACAUUUCCCCCGUUUUUGUUUGGUAAGUGCAGAUUGGAAGGGCAGGUUACGAGGGGGGUGGUUCGGCUCGGCUGAUGGCGAGACUGCUUCGGGAGGACUUCAGCACGAAGAGUUUGUUUUUAAAGAUUUUAUUUAUUUGACACAGAGAGCACAAGCAGGGGGAGUGCCAGGCAGAGGGAGAGGGAGAAGCACACUCGCCGCAGAGCAGGGGAGCUGAUGUGGGACUUCAUCCGAGGGAUCAUGUGGGAUCGUGAUCUGAGCCACAGGCAGUCGCUUAACUGAGUCACCCAGGCGCCCCAGCAUGAAGAGUUCUGUGAAACAGGUAGUCCAGGGCCUUCAGCACUUCAAGAAAACACAAAAGAAAUAGCAUGCCAAGACCUAUGAGAAUCCAUAUUCCGAGGUCUAGUCCUAAAAACCAGUUUUGAGAGUUGAGCCAAUGAUCCAGUUGGCAAUGGACAAGCAUGGCUUUGUGUGCCUCUUCAGGUGAUUGAACCGUUUGUUCAUGUAAUUGACCUUGAAGGUUGAGACUGUCCUGACCCAGAGAAGAAUUAAAUGGUCUAUGUAGAAGCUGUUGGACAUCCUCCCAAAGAGGGGAGCUGUUGAAGGGGACAAGGGUGCAACACAUGGAGCGAUAUUCCACAUCACAGCUGAGAGGGCUGCAGCUCCAAAGAGCUUGUUGCUGUUCCCCAAGCCAAGAGACACUCUGCUUCCAGCGCAUCAAGGUGUUGGAGGAUUUCCUGAUCCAUUGUGAUCUGAGUGACUAAUUCAAAGGUUGCAUUUUGUAGAUAACUAUUCCUAUGAUGGACUGUUCAACUAGAAUGGGAAAGAGCUACUACAGCUUGUAGCAGGGUAGCAGCCAGGGCAGGGACAGCUGUAAUGGAUGCUCUGAGAAGCCCGAGAAAUCUUUCACUCCUAGCGAGGGCAAGAACGUUAGUAAUCCGUUCUAAGGAGGAAUCUCUAACCCAAGUCCUAGUUAGGUUGACCAGGAUCCAUGCCUCAGCCCUCUUAGCACAAGAAUAUGAGUGAUGUUUAGUUGGGUUAUAUUCAAAUGUGGAAUACAGGGAGUGAGCCACGUGAAAUUGGCAGCUAGUGUUAUGUUAAAGUUUUUCAUCCAGGGAUAAUGAGAAGAUGAAGAAUUUAUCUGAAAGAUGGAGGGCUCAUGGGAGGACAUCACAAGGGUGUAGGGGCGAGAGGCACAAGCCAUAAUCUGACAGCCGUAUCAUUAGCAACCCAAGGAAUCUUUCCACCCCUAGGUCUUUGAUAUUCUCCUUGACGCAUCCUUAAAGGAAAAAAGACAAUUGUCAGGUGCCAGAUGUAUUUUUUUAACAACGGCCAGUGAGAGUGCUGGUGGAGACGCAACAGGCGCCCUGCCUGUCCCAGGUUCCAGAAUAAAGACUGUCCAGAAUAGUUGCAAGCGAGGCUACAAUGCCAUGUGAUGUUAGAGUUUUGAACCAGGAGACCUGUUGGACCCCAAUUUUGUAGCACUCAUCCCUCAAAUAGUGGAUUUUUAGUGAAGUUUGUUGAUCUCCAGGUGCCCCAACUCAAGUCGAGGCCUUCUCCAAUUUGUACCCAAGGGUGAGAACAAACAGGGAUGUAAGGUUUAGGGCACCUUUUUCCCGAUUUGAUUUUACCCCCUACCCCGGCAGUUCUGAUGAAUAUUUGAUAUUUUACCGUCCUUAUACGACCCGUCCCUGUGAAGAGGUGGUUCAUUUACCGUUGUGGUUGAAAAGGAAUACGGACAUUACUGGCCGAAUUGUGCACUACAGCACAGAAAGGUAACUUCAGUAAGGAAGAAAAAUCAUGAGUGAGUCCAUGCUAUCCACUGUGAUACCCAAGUGUGCUGCAGAAUUUUCUGCAGUCCUGAAGGGGGCCAGAUUGGAGAAGCAAGUUACCCCCAUGUAGGUGGUAUCAUUGGUGGAAAGGGAGGUUUAGUGUCCCUCCAGGAAAGGAGGUCAAAGAUGGGGGUGCGGUUCAAGAUAAUGUGUCCAAUAGGUGUGAUUCCCCAUAGAGAUAGGGAGGAAGUCAAAGAGUCCCCAUAACAUAAACAGCACAGAUACCUUAGAGCCUUUGGAGUUAGUGGUUAAAAUUUGAUUCAUUAAUUAGUUUUUUUUGUCCAUAUUGAGAAUGCCAAUUUAGCUUUUUCUGUUUGUAAUUUUUGGAUCCCCUUCUGAUCUCUGUUUUCACUGAGCCUAACUUUCCCAGGUCAGAUUGAAGAUCUCACAACUUAGCUGU